UUCUCCAUCCCUGCGGCUCCCACAUGCGUGGGGGCACGCGAUUCCCCCCUUUCGUGUAAACUCUGCUUUCUGAGCCUCCCAAGUACACACUAUGUUUUCAAUCCUUUUCUGAAAACAGGUUGAAGGCUGUAGUGGUUAGAAAGGGCCUGGGCGAAGGAGAGUGUGGGGUUCUGGGGAACGGUGGGCACAGAGCAACGCGGAGGGAAAGCGAGAAGCGUCCCACAUUUCAGGAUGGCGCGUGGGUUUGGCCCCGGUCUGGGUUGCCAAGUGUAUGAGGAAGUGACCUCGAGCUGGAGGCGCAGUGGGGCUGGCGGGCAGUGGGGAGGCUUAGUCUCCCAGCCUGAGCCAGGCUCCGGUAAUGCCAGCUGGAAAGAUCUGGGUCUUCUCGGUUCUCCCACGAUGAGUCAUAAACCCAGCUGAGCAUGGAAGGAAUGGGGCAAGGAAGGGAAUGAGUGGGGGACAUCAAAAAUUAAAGAACUGUGUCAUCAAGGCCCCUUAGGCGUCUGCUGGGCUUCUUGGCAGCACAGUGCUUGGCCAUGUAGGGCUUUACUUUUGGACUUUCUACAUUUUAUUUCAUUUACUUUAAGAAAAAACCUUUUUUUUUUAAGGUAAUCUCUGCACCCUACCUGGGGCUAGAAUUUACGACCCCAGGAUUAUGGGUCAGAUGCCCCACUUACAGAGCCAGCAGGGAGCCCUCAAUUUCUUGCAUUUUAUUUCCUUUUUUUGUAGAACUCUUGAAAUUAGUCACUGUUGUGAAAAUCCGUGAGACAAUAUCUAGCAGUUAUCUGAAUGACGCUUUGAUGAGUUUCUCGAGACACAGAGACAUAUUUCUAUGUUAACUGAAAAAAGCAGUCUGUAAGUCAGAAUCCUGGCCCAAGUGAUGUGUGGAAAAUGAUCGGGGCUCUGGAGGCUCCGUCUGUUAACAGACUCCAACUCUUGAAUUCAGCUCAGGUCAUGAUCUCAUGGUUCUCUAGAUGGUGCCCCCAGUCCGGCUCUCUGCCGCAGUGAGGAGUCUGCUUGGGAUUUUCUCCCUCCCUCUCUCUCUCUCUCUCCCCUUCCUCUGCUUGCAUGCAUGUGCAUGCGUGCUCUCUCUCUCAAAAUAAAUAAACUUAAAAAAAGAAAAAGAAAGAAAAUGGUUGGAGGAAAUGUGCCAAACUACCAACAUAAAGUAAACACUAGGAUUAUGAAUGGUAACAGUUUUCUUUUUUUAUAAUUUCUCCCCAAAGGGCAUAUUUUACUUUUAUAAUCAAGGGGGGGAAAUCAUAUUAAAGGAAGGGACAAACAUGCACCUGUCUCAGCCCAGGCCAGGGAGAACUUGUGAUCACUUGGCUGUAGACGUUUUCAGAGGCAGUGACAAUGGUCUUGGGGGCGGGGAGAUGGUAAGUCCUCCCCCCACCCCAAAGAGAAUACUUGUUUCUUCCCAGCUGAGGAAUCUCCUUCCAGAGCUCUUCCCUGCAAAAACCUAGAGGGUUUACAUUUUUCUUCCAGAUGUCCUUCACGGAGUCCUAAAGGGAGAUGCCCAGUUUGCUGCUGAGCCGGCCGCCCUGCUGACACCUUACGCACACCAUAUCCCCAACACGAGUAACUGUCAAGCAGAUCAUCUUGCAAAGGUCAGUUCUCAUGGGUAGCGGGGAGCAUUUCCCGUUUCCUGUUCCUCCUGGCUGGAAGACUUUUACUUUUGGGGUCACUGCCAGAUGACUGACUUCCACAGAGAUCUCCCACCUAAGAGAAGAGGAAGCCAAUCUUGCGGGCAUUCAUGUGAAAGAUGUCCUGGCCCCACCGGCCUGUGGCCGGCUCCAUGGACGGCCCCCACUGCAUCGUGCAGCUCCUGGGUUAUUGCACAUAACUCGUCCGCGGGGCCCUUUUGGCAGCUUCUCCCUUUUGGAAGGAUUUUUACUGAGAAACGACCAAAAGCUUAACUGGAAGGCCCCUCCCUCCCUUGCACAACUCUCUUCCACGCUCAUGGAAGGGGCUGCCAGCACUGUGCUCACGUGGUCAUGCGCUUCUCUGAAGUCUGCAGAGCUCCCAUGAGCUUGACCUUCACUGAGACGGCUGAUUCCAAAAUGCGGGGGAGAGGGUAGGCUCCAUGCUGGGCACGGAGUCCA